GCUCAGUUGGCUAAGCAUCUGACUUCCGCUCAGGUCAUGAUCUCACAGUUCGUGGGUUCAAGUCCUGCAUUGGGCU
rnacentral:tRNA from 1 species